GCAAACUUGGUCAUUUAGAGGAAGUAAAAGUCGUAACAAGGUUUCCGUAGGUGAACCUGCGGAAGGAUCAUUAUCGAAUGUAAUUGGGGGAUGUUGCUGGCCCCCCUGGGGCAACGUGCACUCCCCCUAAUUCAAAUCCCCACCUGUGCACGUUGAGUAGGCCAUAGAUUUAAUUCUGUUGCCUAUGUUUUCUCAAUAUACACACUUGUGAAAGAUUGUAUGACCAUGUAAUUAAUAAUUACAACUUUCAACAAUGGAUCUCUUGGUUCUCGCAUCGAUGAAGAACGCAGC
rnacentral:misc_RNA from 1 species